UUGUUUCCGGGUCCCGGACAAACGCUGGGGGGGUGCCUAAACACAUGCAAUUCGAAUUGAAAUGAAGUUCCUUGGGGGAAACGGGUUUUAAGCGCCGGGAGGGGGGAGUUAACUCGUGGGGCAACCUGCCCUCAUAGGAGGGGAAAUAGCCUUCCGAAAAGGGGAGAAUUAAUACCGCAUAAGAAUUGUAGUACCGCAUGGUACAGCAAUUAAAGGAGUAAUCCGCUAUGAGAUGGGCCCGCGGCGCAUUAGCUAGUUGGUGAGGUAACGGCUCACCAAGGCGACGAUGCGUAGCCGACCUGAGAGGGUGAUCGGCCACAUUGGGUCUGAGACACGGCCCAGACUCCUACGGGAGGCAGCAGUGGGGAAUUUUGCACAAUGGGGGAAACCCUGAUGCAGCAACGCCGCGUGAGUGAUGAAGGCUUUCGGGUCGUAAAGUUCUGUCGUAGGGGACGAUAAUGACGGUACCCUAGGAGGAAGCCCCGGCUAACUACGUGCCAGCAGCCGCGGUAAUACGUAGGGGGCGAGCGUUUCUCGGAAUUAUUGGGCGUAAAGGGUUCGUAGGCGGUAAUACAUGUCAGAUGUGAAAUCUUGUGGCUUAACCACAUCAAGCAUCUGAAACUGUAUAACUUGAGUGGAGGAGAGGUAAGUGGAAUUCCUAGUGUAGCGGUGAAAUGCGUAGAUAUUAGGAAGAAUACCAGUAGCGAAGGCGACUUACUGGCCUCUAACUGACGCUGAUGAGCGAAAGCGUGGGUAGCAAACACGAUUAGAUACCCUGGUAGUCCACGCCCUAAACGAUGUCAACUAGCUGUUGGGCCGGUUA
rnacentral:rRNA from 1 species